UGAACGCUAGCCGCAGGCCUAAUACAUGCAAGUCGAACGGUAGAUUACUUUCGGGUAAUUGAGUCGCACGGGUGCGUAACGCGUAUGCAACCUACCCUAUACAGGGGGAUAGCCCGGAGAAAUCUGGAUUAAUACCCCAUAGCACUAUGUUGAGGCAUUCGAUAUAGUUAAGAUUCAUCGGUAUAGGAUGGGCAUGCGUCUGAUUAGCUAGUUGGCAGUGUCACGGACCACCAAGGCGACGAUCAGUAGGGGUUCUAUGAGGAAGGUCCCCCACACUGGCACUGAGAUACGGGCCAGACUCCUACGGGAGGCAGCAGUAGGGAAUAUUGGGCAUGGACGAGAG
rnacentral:rRNA from 1 species